UAAAAUCGGACUAAAUCAUUCUAAGAUCAUCGAUAAGCUUAGGAGCGUUGCUUUGGGCUCGGAUUAAAUUCUAAAGAGGAGCCUAGUGACGCGAACGUGGAAAAGAUGAAUUAUCGAUGAAGCCAAUGUGUUUAGCCUAUUUCUAUUUCGUGUCAUUGUCUUAUCUUUUGAGCAUUAUAUAUGUAUUCGACUUCGAAUCUAAUGAUCAGUAUAUCUGAAUAAGCUAUGAAAUAGUUAGGGAUGAGAAAUGGUGGAUGCUAAGUAUUAUUUUGGGUGUUUAUGACUUAUUAAAUUUAACUA